CCUACGGGAGGCAGCAGUGAGGAAUAUUGGUCAAUGGGCGCGAGCCUGAACCAGCCAAGUCGCGUGAGGGAAGACGGUCCUACGGAUUGUAAACCUCUUUUGCCGGGGAGAAAGUGUGGGUACGUGAACACGCGGCGAGAGUACCCGGAGAAAAAGCAUCGGCUAAAUCCGUGCCAGCAGCCGCGGUAAUAGGGAGGAUGCGAGCGAUAUCCGGAUUUAUUGGGGUAAAAGGGUGCGUAGGCGGGCUGGCAAGUCAGCGGUAAAAAUGCGGUGCUCAACGCCGGCCUGCCGUUGAAACUGGCGUUCUGGAGUGGGCGAGAAGUAUGCGGAAUGCGUGGUGUAGCGGUGAAAUGCAUAGAUAUCACGCAGAACUCCGAUUGCGAAGGCAGCAUACCGGCGCCCUACUGACGCUGAGGCACGAAAGCGUGGGUAUCGAACAGGAUUAGAUACCCGAGUAGUC
rnacentral:rRNA from 1 species